rfam:Gorilla gorilla microRNA let-7a-3 gene, complete sequence.
UGGGGGUGAGGUAGUAGGUUGUAUAGUUUGGGGGCUCUGCCCUGCUAUGGGAUAACUAUACUAUCUACUGUCUUUCCUGA